rnacentral:rRNA from 1 species
AGUCGAGCGGAUGAGAGGAGCUUGCUCCUUGAUUUAGCGGCGGACGGGUGAGUAAUGCCUAGGAAUCUGCCUGGUAGUGGGGGAUAACGUCCGGAAACGGGCGCUAAUACCGCAUACGUCCUACGGGAGAAAGCAGGGGACCUUCGGGCCUUGCGCUAUCAGAUGAGCCUAGGUCGGAUUAGCUAGUUGGUGAGGUAAUGGCUCACCAAGGCGACGAUCCGUAACUGGUCUGAGAGGAUGAUCAGUCACACUGGAACUGAGACACGGUCCAGACUCCUACGGGAGGCAGCAGUGGGGAAUAUUGGACAAUGGGCGAAAGCCUGAUCCAGCCAUGCCGCGUGUGUGAAGAAGGUCUUCGGAUUGUAAAGCACUUUAAGUUGGGAGGAAGGGCAGUAAGUUAAUACCUUGCUGUUUUGACGUUACCGACAGAAUAAGCACCGGCUAACUUCGUGCCAGCAGCCGCGGUAAUACGAAGGGUGCAAGCGUUAAUCGGAAUUACUGGGCGUAAAGCGCGCGUAGGUGGUUCGUUAAGUUGGAUGUGAAAGCCCCGGGCUCAACCUGGGAACUGCAUCCAAAACUGGCGAGCUAGAGUACGGUAGAGGGUGGUGGAAUUUCCUGUGUAGCGGUGAAAUGCGUAGAUAUAGGAAGGAACACCAGUGGCGAAGGCGACCACCUGGACUGAUACUGACACUGAGGUGCGAAAGCGU